rnacentral:sRNA from 1 species
ACCUUGCGUUAGCGAUUGAAGCGGCAUCCUUUUUUUGCUGAUUUUUCUCAGCUAAAAAAGAUAUAGCGGAAAGCGCGACCUGAA